UAGACCGCCUGGGGAGUACGGCCGCAAGGUUAAAACUCAAAUGAAUUGACGGGGGCCCGCACAAGCGGUGGAGCAUGUGGUUUAAUUCGAUGCAACGCGAAGAACCUUACCUGGUCUUGACAUCCACAGAACUUUCCAGAGAUGGAUUGGUGCCUUCGGGAACUGUGAGACAGGUGCUGCAUGGCUGUCGUCAGCUCGUGUUGUGAAAUGUUGGGUUAAGUCCCGCAACGAGCGCAACCCUUAUCCUUUGUUGCCAGCGGUCCGGCCGGGAACUCAAAGGAGACUGCCAGU
rnacentral:rRNA from 2 species